AACCAGGAUUAGAUACCCUGGUAGUCCACGCUGUAAACGAUGUCUACUAGCCGUCGGGGUCCUUAGUGACUUUGGUGGCGCAGCUAACGCGAUAAGUAGACCGCCUGGGGAGUACGGCCGCAAGGUUAAAACUCAAAUGAAUUGACGGGGGCCCGCACAAGCGGUGGAGCAUGUGGUUUAAUUCGAUGCAACGCGAAGAACCUUACCAGGUCUUGACAUCCUCGGAAUUUGGCAGAGAUGCCUUAGUGCCUUCGGGAGCCGAGUGACAGGUGCUGCAUGGCCGUCGUCAGCUCGUGUCGUGAGAUGUUGGGUUAAGUCCCGUAACGAGCGCAACCCUUGUCCUUAGUUGCCAGCACGUAAUGGUGGGAACUCUAGGGAGACUGCCGGUGACAAACCGGAGGAAGGUGGGGACGACGUCAGGUCAUCAUGGCCCUUACGACCUGGGCUACACACGUGCUACAAUGGCUGGUACAGAGGGUUGCGAAGUCGCGAGGCGAAGCUAAUCCCUUAAAGCCAGUCGUAGUCCGGAUCGGAGUCUGCAACUCGACUCCGUGAAGUCGGAAUCGCUAGUAAUCGCGGAUCAGAAUGCCGCGGUGAAUACGUUCCCGGGCCUUGUACACACCGCCCGUCACACCAUGGGAGUGGAUUGCACCAGAAGUGGCUAGUCUAACUACGGAGGACGGUCACCACGGUGUGGUUCAUGACUGGGGUGAAGUCGUAACAAGGUAACC
rnacentral:rRNA from 1 species